rnacentral:rRNA from 1 species
AUUGAACGCUGGCGGCAGGCCUAACACAUGCAAGUCGAACGAGUGGCGGACGGGUGAGUAAUGUCUGGGAAACUGCCUGAUGGAGGGGGAUAACUACUGGAAACGGUAGCUAAUACCGCAUACCAUCAGAUGUGCCCAGAUGGGAUUAGCUUGUUGGUGGGGUAACGGCUCACCAAGGCGAAGAUCCCUAGCUGGUCUGAGAGGAUGACCGUCCAAACUGGAACUGGGACACGGUCCGGACUCCUACGGGUGGCAGCAGUGGGGAUGAUUGCACAAUGGGGGCAAGCCUGAUGCAGCCAGGCCGCGUGUAUGAAGAAGGCCUUCGGGUUGUAAAGUACUUUCAGCGGGGAGGCGUUACCCGCAGAAGAAGCACCGGCUAACUCCGUGCCAGCAGCCGCGGUAAUAC